GAGGAAUAUUGGUCAGUGGCCGGAAGGCUGAACCAGCCAUGCCGCGUGAAGGUCAGUGCCCUAUGGGCGUUAAACUUCUUUUGUGCGGGAGCAAUAAGGUCCACGUGUGGGCCGACGAGAGUACCGUACGAAUAAGCAUCGGCUAACUCCGUGCCAGCAGCCGCGGUAAUACGGGGGAUGCAAGCGUUAUCCGGAUUUAUUGGGUUUAAAGGGUGCGUAGGCUGUGAGGUAAGUCAGCGGUGAAAUGCCCCCGCUCAACGGGGUGAAGUGCCAUUGAUACUGCCUUGCUGGAAUGCGGAUGCCGUGGGAGGAAUGUGUGGUGUAGCGGUGAAAUGCAUAGAUAUCACACAGAACACCGAUUGCGAAGGCAUCUCACGAAUCCGCGAUUGACGCUGAUGCACGAAAGCGUGGGUAUCAAACAGG
rnacentral:rRNA from 1 species